AGACCCGAAACCCGGUGAUCUAGCCAUGGGCAGGUUGAAGGUUGGGUAACACUAACUGGAGGACCGAACCGACUAAUGUUGAAAAAUUAGCGGAUGACCUGUGGCUGGGGGUGAAAGGCCAAUCAAACCGGGAGAUAGCUGGUUCUCCCCGAAAGCUAUUUAGGUAGCGCCUCGUGAAUUCAUCUCCGGGGGUAGAGCACUGUUUCGGCUAGGGGGCCAUCCCGGCUUACCAACCCGAUGCAAACUGCGAAUACCGGAGAAUGUUAUCACGGGAGACACACGGCGGGUGCUAACGUCCGUCGUGAAGAGGGAAACAACCCAGACCGCCAGCUAAGGUCCCAAAGUCAUGGUUAAGUGGGAAACGAUGUGGGAAGGCCCAGACAGCCAGGAUGUUGGCUUAGAAGCAGCCAUCAUUUAAAGAAAGCGUAAUAGCUCACUGGUCGAGUCGGCCUGCGCGGAAGAUGUAACGGGGCUAAACCAUGCACCGAAGCUGCGGCAGCGACACUGUGUGUUGUUGGGUAGGGGAGCGUUCUGUAAGCCUGUGAAGGUGUGUCGUGAGGCAUGCUGGAGGUAUCAGAAGUGCGAAUGCUGACAUAAGUAACGAUAAAGCGGGUGAAAAGCCCGCUCGCCGGAAGACCAAGGGUUCCUGUCCAACGUUAAUCGGGGCAGGGUGAGUCGACCCCUAAGGCGAGGCCGAAAGGCGUAGUCGAUGGGAAACGGGUUAAUAUUCCCGUACUUGGUGUUACUGCGAAGGGGGGACGGAGAAGGCUAUGUUGGCCGGGCGACGGUUGUCCCGGUUUAAGCGUGUAGGUGUGUGUUCCAGGUAAAUCCGGUUCACUUUAACACUGAGGCGUGACGACGAGGCACUACGGUGCUGAAGCAACAAAUGCCCUGCUUCCAGGAAAAGCCUCUAAGCAUCAGGUAACAUCAAAUCGUACCCCAAACCGACACAGGUGGUCAGGUAGAGAAUACCAAGGCGCUUGAGAGAACUCGGGUGAAGGAACUAGGCAAAAUGGUGCCGUAACUUCGGGAGAAGGCACGCUGACACGUAGGUGAAGUGAUUUACUCAUGGAGCUGAAGUCAGUCGAAGAUACCAGCUGGCUGCAACUGUUUAUUAAAAACACAGCACUGUGCAAACACGAAAGUGGACGUAUACGGUGUGACGCCUGCCCGGUGCCGGAAGGUUAAUUGAUGGGGUCAGCGCAAGCGAAGCUCCUGAUCGAAGCCCCGGUAAACGGCGGCCGUAACUAUAACGGUCCUAAGGUAGCGAAAUUCCUUGUCGGGUAAGUUCCGACCUGCACGAAUGGCGUAAUGAUGGCCAGGCUGUCUCCACCCGAGACUCAGUGAAAUUGAACUCGCUGUGAAGAUGCAGUGUACCCGCGGCAAGACGGAAAGACCCCGUGAACCUUUACUAUAGCUUGACACUGAACAUUGAGCCUUGAUGUGUAGGAUAGGUGGGAGGCUUUGAAGUGUGGACGCCAGUCUGCAUGGAGCCGACCUUGAAAUACCACCCUUUAAUGUUUGAUGUUCUAACGUGGACCCGUUACCCGGGUUGCGGACAGUGUCUGGUGGGUAGUUUGACUGGGGCGGUCUCCUCCUAAAGAGUAACGGAGGAGCACGAAGGUUGGCUAAUCCUGGUCGGACAUCAGGAGGUUAGUGCAAUGGCAUAAGCCAGCUUGACUGCGAGCGUGACGGCGCGAGCAGGUGCGAAAGCAGGUCAUAGUGAUCCGGUGGUUCUGAAUGGAAGGGCCAUCGCUCAACGGAUAAAAGGUACUCCGGGGAUAACAGGCUGAUACCGCCCAAGAGUUCAUAUCGACGGCGGUGUUUGGCACCUCGAUGUCGGCUCAUCACAUCCUGGGGCUGAAGUAGGUCCCAAGGGUAUGGCUGUUCGCCAUUUAAAGUGGUACGCGAGCUGGGUUUAGAACGUCGUGAGACAGUUCGGUCCCUAUCUGCCGUGGGCGCUGGAGAACUGAGGGGGGCUGCUCCUAGUACGAGAGGACCGGAGUGGACGCAUCACUGGUGUUCGGGUUGUCAUGCCAAUGGCACUGCCCGGUAGCUAAAUGCGGAAGAGAUAAGUGCUGAAAGCAUCUAAGCACGAAACUUGCCCCGAGAUGAGUUCUCCCUGAGACUUAAAGUCUCCUGAAGGAACGUUGAAGACGACGACGUUGAUAGGCCGGGUGUGUAAGCGCAGCGAUGCGUUGAGCUAACCGGUACUAAUGAACCGUGAGGCUUAACCUU
rnacentral:rRNA from 1 species